CCCUCCUCCCACCCGCGCCAUUUUGCUGGAGGAGGACCUGUUAGUGGCGCGGGACUUCUUCAGCUACUUCAAUCAGACAGCGUGGUUGCUACAAAACGACCCAAGCUUAUUUUGCAUCAGUGCCUGGAAUGACCUUGGAACGCUUCAUGUGGCCUCUCGACCUGACCUCUUGUACAGGGUCGAGACACACGCCGGAUACGGUUGGAUGAUGACCAAAGGGUUCCUGGAGGAGGUGUAUGACAAGUGGAAGGCGCCCGAUAAGAACCACGAUUGGGAUAUUUGGUUCAGAAGCACAGAGGUCAGGGCAGGGCGUGAAUGCGUGGUUCCAGACGUGUCAAGAACCUUCCAUGGAGGUGUCGAGGGCGCCCACAUCAAGGGGCGUUAUGACCCACGCCUACUUCACAGCCCACCCAGUCACUAAUGCUUCGUAUGUUAAGCUUAAU